rnacentral:tRNA from 1 species
GGCGGCAUAGCCAAGUGGUAAGGCAGAAGUCUGCAAAACUUUCAUCCCCAGUUCAAAUCUGGGUGCCGCCUCCA